rnacentral:lncRNA from 1 species
CUACUCCUCGAGGUAGUCGAUUUUCAAAAUAGAGUUUCCGUGUGGGAAACAGCUUUCAAAAGGUUUUUGAAUAGUUUUCAUGAAUGAAUGAAUUAGAGUUUAAAAUCAAAGCUUCCGGGUAGGGAGCACUUUUAAAUAGGAUGAUUGUUGUACUGUGCAUUGCAUCAUCCAGCGCCUAAGGAGUGCUUAGAGGCAUGCAUCAUCUCUAAGGAUCGAUAGCUGUAUGGAAAUGUAUAUCAUGAAUUGCUUGUUGAUUGAUAAAUAUAGGUUGUAGUUGAGAUCCUGUUGUAUGGUUGGUACGCCGUGCAAAUACAAAGGAGACUCUGUCCGAGUGGACAGAUGAACUUUGUAUUUGUGGCGGGUCUGUACGUCACGUGGGCCAGGUUGAAAAAAAAAAGGGGGCACAUCCUCCGCCAAAAUGGUAAUGGAUUUUAAAAAGGCUUUUAAAAUCGGCCA